AUGUUGAAAACUGAUCCAAAGCAUUGGUGUAGAGCAUGGUUCAAAUUAGGUAGCAAUUGUGACUCUGUCGACAAUAAUAUGUGCGAAAGUUUUAACAAGUGGAUAGUAGAAGCUAGGUUUCUCCCAAUUCUUUUCAUGCUAGAGACAAUUAGGAGAAUGGUGAUGGUUAGAAUACAAGAGAACAGAGACAAGUGUGAGAAAUGGGAUGAUCCUAUAUGCCCUAAUAUAAACAAGAAAUUA
rnacentral:rRNA from 1 species